AAAGGCCAGUGUAAUCAGCAGGCUGCUCAGCCCAGGCCACAGCCCAGCUGUGCUCCAGGACCUCAGUUGUUGGCUCUGCGUGGUGAGAUGUACCCCACAGUGAGAGCUAGCUCAAGUCUCUCAGCACAGGUGAACACCCCCAGCUCUCCCAGGCUGGCUCCAGAGCAGAGGAUUUCCAGCCCUGGGACCAUCUCUGUGGCCUGCUCUGGACGCUUGCUAAUAGCUUUCUUCUAGGUUUCCUGGAUGGAGAGAAGGCAGAGGGAGUAAGAGAAGCAUCUCCAGGAAAUGAUUCAUCUAUUCCUAAGAUAGAUGUUUGUAACAUGUGGGAUGAAUCACAGUUGACAGGGGAUCAUCUCUCUUUUUUGGCAUAAAACAAGACUAGAUGACCUGCUGAAACCUGCUGAAGUGCAUGGUCCCACCAUCAGGGACUUCACUUGUGUUUUCCAGCUAA